ACGGCGAGUGAAGCGGCAAAAGCUCAAAUUUGAAAUCUGGCGCCUGCAAGUGUCCGAGUUGUACUUUGGAGAGGCAUCUUCGUGAGGGGUCCAGCCUAUGUUCCUUGGAACAGGGCGUCACAGAGGGUGAGAAUCCCGUUCGUGGCUGGAUACUCCUUGCAGUAUGUAGUGUCUUCAAUGAGUCGAGUUGUUUGGGAAUGCAGCUCAAAAUGGGUGGUAAAUUUCAUCUAAAGCUAAAUAUUGGCGAGAGACCGAUAGCGCACAAGUAGAGUGAUCGAAAGAUGAAAAGCACUUUGAAAAUAGAGUCAAACAGUACGUGAAAUUGUUGAAAGGGAAGCGCUUGAGAUCAGAGUCAGCCUUUGACAAACAACAUUCCUUAUGGAUAGUGCACUUGUUAUUGGCUGGGCCAGCAUCAGUUGGGACGGUAGGAUAAAGGCCUUGGGAAUGUGACUCCCUUCCGGAGUGUUAUAGCCCUUGGUGCCAUACUGCCUGCCCUGACUGUGGACCGCGCUUCGGCUUGGAUGCUGGCUUAAUGGUCUUCAGCGGCCCGUCUUGAAACACGGACCAAGGAGUCUAACGUCUAUGCAAGUGUUUGGGCUCAAAACCCUCACGCGUAAUGAAAGUGAACGGAGGUGGGAACCCUGCAAGGGGUGCACCAUCGACCGAUCCUGAUGUCUUCGGAUGGAUUUGAGUAGGAGCAUAGCUGUUGGGACCCGAAAGAUGGUGAACUAUGCCUGAAUAGGGUGAAGCCAGAGGAAACUCUGGUGGAGGCUCGCAGCGGUUCUGACGUGCAAAUCGAUCGUCAAAUUUGGGUAUAGG
rnacentral:rRNA from 1 species